rnacentral:rRNA from 1 species
UACGUAGGGGGCAAGCGUUGUCCGGAUUCAUUGGGCGUAAAGAGCGUGUAGGCGGCCAGGUAGGUCGGUUGUGAAAACUGGAGGCUCAACCUUCAGAGGUCGACCGAAACCACCUGGCUAGAGUCCGGGAGAGGAGAGUGGAAUUUACGGUGUGGCAGUGAAAUGCGUAGAGAUCGUAAGGAAGACCAGUGGCGAAGGCGAGUUUCUGGACGGUAACUGACGCUGAGGCACGAAGGCCAGGGGAGCAAACGGG